CUUUAAAUGUUUAAAGGAAGUUGCCAAACAUAUUUAUGUAAAAGUAAAUAUUAGUUUGUUCUAUUAUUAGCGUUUGUGUUGAUAGUGUUUGGUUCAUUUGGACUCCAAUAUUUUUAUUGCAUUGCCUGUAUUUGUGAAUUACAUAAAUUUUAUUUAAAAUAAACUGCUUAUCGGCAAAUAAUUUAUUUUAAUAUAUUUAAACUUUUUGGACUAAAUGCUUUUAAAUAUUUGACCAAACAUUCACUUAAAAAACUGAUCCUGAUCCUAUAGAUAAAAUUUUGUAAUUAUUUUUGACUUGGAUAUUAUUUCAUCCUCAUUUCAAAAAAUCACUCCAAAAAUAAUAUAGCCUUUAGGUUGCUUUGUUAUCCCAACCUCCCCAUUUUGUGUGGUACAGAAUAAGAUAGCUGAUAGCCUUAACUCAGAUUUCCUUUACCUUUCUCUCCUUCUCUCAUCACAAAAUCCACACUAAUAACCAAAUAAACACACACCAAACAGAGAAAUCAUCGCUCACAGUUUGUUUCACAGACCAAAAUCCGCCAUGGCCAACAUGAUAAUGGCCUCCACCAAAACCUUAAUCACCUCUUCAUCCCUCCCCAAACUCCCCAAAAUCCCCCUCCCCCAAAUCCCAAAACUCCCCAACCCCACCAAACUCCUGUCUCUCUCCUCCACCGCCGCAACCUCACUCGCUGCCAUCGCCGCCGCUUCUCUCUCCUCCCCGCCCCCACUCCUCGCCGAGGAAUUCGAAAAAGCCCAACUAUUCGACUUCGAUCUCACCCUUCCAAUCAUG
rnacentral:lncRNA from 1 species